rnacentral:ncRNA from 1 species
GUAAAGCUGUCGAAAGACAGCGGCACAAAGCCAAGGGUCUAAGGUCUGGCAGCAGACUAUGACAGCCGGUUGCCGC